AUUGAACGCUGGCGGCAUGCCUUACACAUGCAAGUCGAACGGCAGCACGGGUGCUUGCACCUGGUGGCGAGUGGCGAACGGGUGAGUAAUACAUCGGAACGUACCUUAUCGUGGGGGAUAACGCAGCGAAAGCUGUGCUAAUACCGCAUACGCCCUGAGGGGGAAAGCGGGGGAUCGAAAGACCUCGCGCGAUUAGAGCGGCCGAUGCCUGAUUAGCUUGUUGGUGGGGUAAAAGCCCACCAAGGCGACGAUCAGUAGCUGGUCUGAGAGGACGAUCAGCCACACUGGGACGAAGACACGGCCCAGACUCCUACGGGAGGCAGCAGUGGGGAAGUUUGGACAAUGGGGGCAACCCUGAUCCAGCAAUGCCGCGUGAGUGAAGAAGGCCUUCGGGUUGCAAAGCUCUUUUGUCAGGGAAGAAACACCGGCUCUAACACAGUCCGGGAAUGACGGUACCUGAAGAAUAAGCACCGGCUAACUACGUGCCAGCAGCCGCGGUAA
rnacentral:rRNA from 1 species